GGAAAGAUGGCAGAGUGGUCGAUUGCGGCGGUCUUGAAAACCGUUGAGCCGAGAGGUUCCCGGGGUUCGAAUCCCUGUCUUUCCG
rnacentral:tRNA from 1 species